AGGGAUCAUUACAAGAACGCCCGGGCUUCGGCCUGGUUAUUCAUAACCCUUUGUUGUCCGACUCUGUUGCCUCCGGGGCGACCCUGCCUUCGGGCGGGGGCUCCGGGUGGACACUUCAAACUCUUGCGUAACUUUGCAGUCUGAGUAAACUUAAUUAAUAAAUUAAAACUUUUAACAACGGAUCUCUUGGUUCUGGCAUCGAUGAAGAACGCAGCGAAAUGCGAUAAGUAAUGUGAAUUGCAGAAUUCAGUGAAUCAUCGAAUCUUUGAACGCACAUUGCGCCCCCUGGUAUUCCGGGGGGCAUGCCUGUUCGAGCGUCAUUUCACCACUCAAGCCUCGCUUGGUAUUGGGCAACGCGGUCCGCCGCGUGCCUCAAAUCGUCCGGCUGGGUCUUCUGUCCCCUAAGCGUUGUGGAAACUAUUCGCUAAAGGGUGUUCGGGAGGCUACGCCGUAAAACAACCCCAUUUCUAAGGUUGACCUCGGAUCAGGUAGGGAUACCCGCUGAACUUAAGCAUAUCAAUAAGCGGAGGAAAAGAAACCAACAGGGAUUGCUCUAGUAACGGCGAGUGAAGCAGCAAUAGCUCAAAUUUGAAAUCUGGCGUCUUCGACGUCCGAGUUGUAAUUUGUAGAGGAUGCUUCUGAGUGGCCACCGACCUAAGUUCCUUGGAACAGGACGUCAUAGAGGGUGAGAAUCCCGUAUGCGGUCGGAAAGGCGCUCUAUACGUAGCUCCUUCGACGAGUCGAGUUGUUUGGGAAUGCAGCUCUAAAUGGGAGGUAAAUUUCUUCUAAAGCUAAAUAUUGGCCAGAGACCGAUAGCGCACAAGUAGAGUGAUCGAAAGAUGAAAAGCACCUUGGAAAGAGAGUUAAAAAGCACGUGAAAUUGUUAAAAGGGAAGGGAUUGCAACCAGACUUGCUCGCGGUGUUCCGCCGGUCUUCUGACCGGUCUACUCGCCGCGUUGCAGGCCAGCAUCGUCUGGUGCCGCUGGAUAAGACUUGAGGAAUGUAGCUCCCUCGGGAGUGUUAUAGCCUCUUGUGAUGCAGCGAGCGCCGGGCGAGGUCCGCGCUUCGGCUAGGAUGCUGGCGUAAUGGUCGUAAUCCGCC
rnacentral:rRNA from 1 species